GACGAACGCUGGCGGCGUGCCUAAUACAUGCAAGUUGAGCGCUGAAGGUUGGUACUUGUACCAACUGGAUGAGCAGCGAACGGGUGAGUAACGCGUGGGGAAUCUGCCUUUGAGCGGGGGACAACAUUUGGAAACGAAUGCUAAUACCGCAUAAAAACUUUAAACACAAGUUUUAAGUUUGAAAGAUGCAAUUGCAUCACUCAAAGAUGAUCCCGCGUUGUAUUAGCUAGUUGGUGAGGUAAAGGCUCACCAAGGCGAUGAUACAUAGCCGACCUGAGAGGGUGAUCGGCCACAUUGGGACUGAGACACGGCCCAAACUCCUACGGGAGGCAGCAGUAGGGAAUCUUCGGCAAUGGACGAAAGUCUGACCAAGCAACGCCGCGUGAGUGAAGAAGGGUGUCGGAUCGUAAAACUCUGUUGGUAGAGAAGAACGUUGGUGAGAGUGGAAAGCUCAUCAAGUGACGGUAACUACCCAGAAAGGGACGGCUAACUACGUG
rnacentral:rRNA from 1 species